GUCUGCAUGGAGCCGACCUUGAAAUACCACCCUUUAAUGUUUGAUGUUCUAACGUGGACCCGUAAUCCGGGUUGCGGACAGUGUCUGGUGGGUAGUUUGACUGGGGCGGUCUCCUCCUAAAGAGUAACGGAGGAGCACGAAGGUUGGCUAAUCCUGGUCGGACAUCAGGAGGUUAGUGCAAUGGCAUAAGCCAGCUUGACUGCGAGCGUGACGGCGCGAGCAGGUGCGAAAGCAGGUCAUAGUGAUCCGGUGGUUCUGAAUGGAAGGGCCAUCGCUCAACGGAUAAAAGGUACUCCGGGGAUAACAGGCUGAUACCGCCCAAGAGUUCAUAUCGACGGCGGUGUUUGGCACCUCGAUGUCGGCUCAUCACAUCCUGGGGCUGAAGUAGGUCCCAAGGGUAUGGCUGUUCGCCAUUUAAAGUGGUACGCGAGCUGGGUUUAGAACGUCGUGAGACAGUUCGGUCCCUAUCUGCCGUGGGCGCUGGAGAACUGAGGGGGGCUGCUCCUAGUACGAGAGGACCGGAGUGGACGCAUCACUGGUGUUCGGGUUGUCAUGCCAAUGGCACUGCCCGGUAGCUAAAUGCGGAAGAGAUAAGUGCUGAAAGCAUCUAAGCACGAAACUUGCCCCGAGAUGAGUUCUCCCUGAGACUUAGAGUCUCCUGAAGGAACGUUGAAGACGACGACGUUGAUAGGCCGGGUGUGUAAGCGCAGCGAUGCGUUGAGCUAACCGGUACUAAUGAACCGUGAGGCUUAACCUUAC
rnacentral:rRNA from 2 species